CCAGAAAAGAGAGAUUUUAACUCCCACCCCU
rnacentral:tRNA from 1 species